GGUGACCUGCGGAAGGAUCAUUACCGAGUGCGGGCCCCUCGGGGCCCAACCUCCCACCCGUGUUGCCCGAACCUAUGUUGCCUCGGCGGGCCCCGCGCCCGCCGACGGCCCCCCUGAACGCUGUCUGAAGUUGCAGUCUGAGACCUAUAACGAAAUUAGUUAAAACUUUCAACAACGGAUCUCUUGGUUCCGGCAUCGAUGAAGAACGCAGCGAAAUGCGAUAACUAAUGUGAAUUGCAGAAUUCAGUGAAUCAUCGAGUCUUUGAACGCACAUUGCGCCCUCUGGUAUUCCGGAGGGCAUGCCUGUCCGAGCGUCAUUGCUGCCCUCAAGCCCGGCUUGUGUGUUGGGCCCCGUCCCCCCCGCCGGGGGGACGGGCCCGAAAGGCAGCGGCGGCACCGCGUCCGGUCCUCGAGCGUAUGGGGCUUCGUCACCCGCUCUAGUAGGCCCGGCCGGCGCCAGCCGACCCCCAACCUUUAAUUAUCUCAGGUUGACCUCGGAUCAGGUAGGGAUACCCGCUGAACUUAAGCAUAUCAAUAAGCGGAGGAAAAGAAACCAACCGGGAUUGCCCUAGUAACGGCGAGUGAAGCGGCAAGAGCUCAAAUUUGAAAGCUGGCCCCCUCGGGGUCCGCA
rnacentral:rRNA from 1 species